UACGUAGGGUGCGAGCGUUAAUCGGAAUUACUGGGCGUAAAGCGUGCGUAGGCGGUUCGCUGUGUCCGAUGUGAAAGCCCCGGGCUUAACCUGGGAAUGGCAUUGGAAACUGGCGGGCUUGAGUGCGGCAGAGGGGGGUGGAAUUCCGGCGGUGUAGCAGUGAAAUGCGUAGAGAUGCGGAGGAACACCGAUGGCGAAGGCAGCCCCCUGGGUCGACACUGGACGCCUCGAGGACGAAAGCGUGGGGAGCAAACAGGG
rnacentral:rRNA from 1 species